rnacentral:rRNA from 1 species
AUUGAACGCUGGCGGCAGGCCUAACACAUGCAAGUCGAACGGUAACAGGAAGCAGCUUGCUGCUUCGCUGACGAGUGGCGGACGGGUGAGUCAUGUCUGGGCAACUGCCUGAUGGAGGGGGAUAACUACUGGAAACGGUAGCUAAUACCGCAUAACGUCGCAAGACCAAAGAGGGGGACCUUAGGGCCUCUUGCCAUCGGAUGUGCCCAGAUGGGAUUAGCUAGUAGGUGGGGUAACGGCUCACCUAGGCGACGAUCCCUAGCUGGUCUGAGAGGAUGACCAGCCACACUGGAACUGAGACACGGUCCAGACUCCUACGGGAGGCAGCAGUGGGGAAUAUUGCACAAUGGGCGCAAGUCUGAUGCAGCCAUGCCGCGUGUAUGAAGAAGGCCUUCGGGUUGUAAAGUACUUUCAGCGGGGAGGAAGGGUGUAAAGUUAAUACCUUUGCUCAUUGACGGUACCCGCAGAAGAAGCACCGGCUAACUCCGUG